rnacentral:rRNA from 1 species
CACACGGUCUGCGUGUGGGCGUGUGGUGAGCGCGGUUCGGUUGGUAGGUUGGCAGGCGAGCUGGCUGGUCGUUGUCGCCGCAACUGGCUGGCUGGCUGGCUGGCUGGCUGGCUGACUGGCUAGGCGGUGGGUUGGCGGGACGGCUGGGUGGUUUGCUUGCUGGCUGGGCUGGCUGGUGCGAUGCUGCACUACUACUGCUUGCGUGCAGUGAGCGUGUGUUGGCAGGGAUUGUGUUGCCGUGGCCAUGAAGAAGCACUGUCGUGUCAAGCUGGCAAGGCGAUGGUGUCACCUUUGAGCCAUGUCUGUGGUGUAACAGCUACAGGUGUGGACGGGUGUUGGGCAGCGCUCUGCACACGUUGUGGAGUCUGUCGGCUCGUCUGCAUGCCUUUGGAUGCCCUUAAAAAGGUGUCUGCGGGCGGAUGGCACGUUUACUUUGAACAAAUUUGAGUGCUCAAAUCAGGCCGAUGUUGCCUGAAAAGUUUUGCAUGGAAUAAUGGAAUAGGACUUCGGUUCUAUUUCGUUGGUUUUCGGAUCCGAAGUAAUGAUCAAAAGAGACAGGCGGGGACGUUUGUAUGGCUGCGCUAGAGGUGAAAUUCAUGGACCGUAGCCAGACAGACUAAAGCGAAAGCAUUCGUCAAGCAUGUUUUCAUUGGCCAUGAGCGAAAGUCAGAGGCUCGAAGACGAUCAGAUACCGUCCUAGUUCUGACCAUAAACGAUGCCAACUGACGAUCCGUGGUGGUAGUAGUGUUACCUUCCCCACGGGCAGUCCCCGGGAAACCUUUAAGUGUUUGGGUUCCGGGGAAGUAUGGUUGCAAAGCUGAAACUUAAAGGAAUUGACGGAAGGGCACCACCAGGAGUGGAGCCUGCGGCUUAAUUUGACUCAACACGGGAAAACUCACCCGGGCCGGACACUGUGAGGAUUGACAGAUUGAGAGCUCUUUCUUGAUUUGGUGGUUGGUGGUGCAUGGCCGUUCUUAGUUGGUGGAGCGAUUUGUCUGGUUAAUUCCGAUAACGAACGAGACUCCAACCUGCUAAUUAGUGCGUUUGUCCACUGCGCCUGCGUAGGUGACGCUGGAUGACACCACCUGUCACGAGGACGUGGCAGCGGCUCUCUCUCCCCUUCUCCGCUCGAAUGCCCUCCAGCGCCUCCUCCUCCUUCCUCCUCUCCUCCCCCUUCUUCAGCGCCUCAUCUGGCCGGCUGGCUGGCUGGCCGGGUGAGGCGGUGGUGGCGGUGGCGGUGGUGAGGGCGAUGGGGUGGGGAUGGUGCGGGUGGGCGAGUGGAUUGUGGUGGAGGCGUGGGGUUGGGUGCGGCGCUCGUGGCCGGUUAGUCUGGCGUUGGCCUCCGGGUGUGGCGCGAAUGCCUACUUCUUAGAGGGACAAGCGGGAGAAGCCGCACGAAAUAGAGCAAUAACAGGUCUGUGAUGCCCUUAGAUGUCCGGGGCCGCACGCGCGCUACAAUGACGGUGUCAGCGAGUCAGGCCUUCUGGCCCGAAAGGGUUGGGCAAACUGGUCAAUCACCGUCGUGACAGGGAUCGGGGCUUGGAAUUGUUCCCCGUGAACGAGGAAUUCCUAGUAAGUGCAAGUCAUAAGCUUGCGCUGAUUACGUCCCUGCCCUUUGUACACACCGCCCGUCGCUACUACCGAUUGAAUGGUUUAGUAAGGUCCUCGGAUUGGCGUCAUUGCGACGGUGGCCGAGAGGUCACAGCCCGAGGGGCGCUGAGAAGACGACCGAACUUGAUCAUUUAGAGGAAGUAAAAGUCGUAACAAGGUUUCCGUAGGUGAACCUGCGGAAG